AGUCAAUAGAUACCCGGGUAGUCCAUGCCGUAAACGAUGAUUGCUAGGUGUGGGGGGUCUGACUCCUUCCGUGCCGGAGUUAAACACAAUAAGCAAUCCACCUGGGGAGUACGGCCGCAAGGUUGAAACUCAAAGGAAUUGACGGGGGCCCGCACAAGCAGUGGAGUAUGUGGUUUAAAUUCGAAGCAACGCGAAGAACCUUACCAGGUCUUGACAUCCACCGAAUCCUGUAGAGAUACGGGAGUGCCCUUCGGGGAACGGUGAGACAGGUGGUGCAUGGUUGUCGUCAGCUCGUGUCGUGAGAUGUUGGGUUAAGUCCCGCAACGAGCGCAACCCUUGUGAAUAGUUGCUACGAAAGAGCACUCUAUUCAGACCGCCGUUGACAAAACGGAGGAAGGUGGGGAUGACGUCAAAUCAUCAUGCCCCUUAUGACCUGGGCUACACACGUACUACAAUGGCCGUUAACAGAGGGAUGCAAUGCCGCGAGGUGGAGCGAACCCCUAAAAACGGUCUCAGUUCAGAUUGCAGGCUGAAACUCGCCUGC
rnacentral:rRNA from 1 species